GGGAGCUGGCGGCAGCUACCAUGCAGUCGAGCGGUAACAGAUCCAGCUUGCUGGAUGCUGACGAGCGGCGGACGGGUGAGUAAUGCAUAGGAAUCUGCCCGAUAGUGGGGGAUAACCUGGGGAAACCCAGGCUAAUACCGCAUACGUCCUACGGGAGAAAGGGGGCUUCGGCUCCCGCUAUCGGAUGAGCCUAUGUCGGAUUAGCUAGUUGGUGAGGUAACGGCUCACCAAGGCGACGAUCCGUAGCUGGUCUGAGAGGAUGAUCAGCCACAUCGGGACUGAGACACGGCCCGAACUCCUACGGGAGGCAGCAGUGGGGAAUAUUGGACAAUGGGGGGAACCCUGAUCCAGCCAUGCCGCGUGUGUGAAGAAGGCCCUCGGGUUGUAAAGCACUUUCAGCGAGGAAGAACGCCUAGCGGUUAAUACCCGCUAGGAAAGACAUCACUCGCAGAAGAAGCACCGGCUAACUCCGUGCCAGCAGCCGCGGUAAUACGGAGGGUGCAAGCGUUAAUCGGAAUUACUGGGCGUAAAGCGCGCGUAGGUGGCUUGAUAAGCCGGUUGUGAAAGCCCCGGGCUCAACCUGGGAACGGCAUCCGGAACUGUCAAGCUAGAGUGCAGGAGAGGAAGGUAGAAUUCCCGGUGUAGCGGUGAAAUGCGUAGAGAUCGGGAGGAAUACCAGUGGCGAAGGCGGCCUUCUGGACUGACACUGACACUGAGGUGCGAAAGCGUGGGUAGCAAACAGGAUUAGAUACCUGGGGUAGUC
rnacentral:rRNA from 1 species